rnacentral:misc_RNA from 1 species
AACGCACCUUGCGCUCCUUGGUAUUCCGAGGAGCAUGCCUGUUUGAGUGUCAUGAAAUUCUCAACUGCUCUAGUCUGUUUUCUGACUAAAGUGAGGUUGGAUUUGGAGGGAAUAUUGCUGGCGCAGAGUUUGCUUGUCAGCUCCUCUUAAAUGAAUGUGCUUUCUUGUGCAAAGUAACACCAAUGUGAUAAUUAUCUACAUUGGAUGUAAAAGCUUUUUGAAAGCAGUGUCAAUAAAUGAUAAAUUUGGCCUCAAAUCAGGUAGGACUACCCGCUGAACUUAA